CGCCAAAGACGGUAACAGCCCGGUAGUUGAAAUAGCUUUCCCUCCAGAGUGGAUCCUGAGUACGGCGGAACACGUGAAAUUCCGUCGGAAUCCGGGAGGACCAUCUCCCAAGGCUAAAUACUCCCUAGUGACCGAUAGUGAACCAGUACCGUGAGGGAAAGGUGAAAAGCACCCCGGAAGGGGAGUGAAACAGUUCCUGAAACCGUGUGCCUACAAGUAGUUAGAGCCCGUUAAUGGGUGAUAGCGUGCCUUUUGUAGAAUGAACCGGCGAGUUACGAUUUGUUGCAAGGUUAAGCGGAAAAAGCGGAGCCGUAGCGAAAGCGAGUCUGAAUAGGGCGCAUAAGUAACAGGUCGUAGACCCGAAACCAGGUGAUCUACCCAUGUCCAGGAUGAAGGUAAGGUAAUACUUACUGGAGGUCCGAACCCACGCACGUUGAAAAGUGCGGGGAUGAGGUGUGGGUAGCGGAGAAAUUCCAAUCGAACUUGGAGAUAGCUGGUUCUCUCCGAAAUAGCUUUAGGGCUAGCCUCGAGGUAAAGAGUCAUGGAGGUAGAGCACUGUUUGGACUAGGGGCCCUUCUCGGGUUACCGAAUUCAGAUAAACUCCGAAUGCCAUGUACUUAUACUCGGGAGUCAGACUGCGAGUGAUAAGAUCCGUAGUCGAAAGGGAAACAGCCCAGACCACCAGUUAAGGUCCCCAAAUAUAUGUUAAGUGGAAAAGGAUGUGGGGUUGCUUAGACAACCAGGAUGUUGGCUUAGAAGCAGCCACCAUUGAAAGAGUGCGUAAUAGCUCACUGGUCGAGUGACCCCGCGCCGAAAAUGUACCGGGGCUAAACAUAUUACCGAAACUGUGGAUGAACCUCUUUAGAGGUUCGUGGUAGGAGAGCGUUCUAAGGGCGGUGAAGUCAGACCGGAAGGACUGGUGGAGCGCUUAGAAGUGAGAAUGCCGGUAUGAGUAGCGAAAGAAGGGUGAGAAUCCCUUCCACCGAAUAUCUAAGGUUUCCUGAGGAAGGCUCGUCCGCUCAGGGUUAGUCGGGACCUAAGCCGAGGCCGAUAGGCGUAGGCGAUGGACAACAGGUAGAGAUUCCUGUACCAGUGCUAAUUGUUUAACCGAUGGGGUGACACAGAAGGAUAGGGAAUCGCACGAAUGGAAAUGUGCGUCCAAGCAGUGAGUGUGAGAAGUAGGCAAAUCCGCUUCUCGCGAAGCAUGAGCUGUGAUGGGGAAGGAAAUUAAGUACGGAAGUUCCUGAUUUCACGCUGUCAAGAAAAGCCUCUAGGAAGAGUAGUACUGCCCGUACCGCAAACCGACACAGGUAGAUGAGGAGAGAAUCCUAAGGUGAGCGAGAGAACUCUCGUUAAGGAACUCGGCAAAAUGACCCCGUAACUUCGGGAGAAGGGGUGCUCUAUUAGGGUGCAAGCCCGAGAGAGCCGCAGUGAAUAGGCCCAGGCGACUGUUUAGCAAAAACACAGGUCUCUGCAAAACCGUAAGGUGACGUAUAGGGGCUGACGCCUGCCCGGUGCUGGAAGGUUAAGAGGAGUGCUUAGCUUCGGCGAAGGUACGAAUUGAAGCCCCAGUAAACGGCGGCCGUAACUAUAACGGUCCUAAGGUAGCGAAAUUCCUUGUCGGGUAAGUUCCGACCCGCACGAAAGGCGCAACGAUCUGGGCACUGUCUCAACGAGAGACUCGGUGAAAUUAUAGUACCUGUGAAGAUGCAGGUUACCCGCGACAGGACGGAAAGACCCCGUGGAGCUUUACUGCAACCUGAUAUGGAAUGUUUGUACCGCUUGUACAGGAUAGGUAGGAGCCGAAGAGACGUGUGCGCUAGCAUACGAGGAGGCAAUGGUGGGAUACUACCCUGGCUGUAUGACCAUUCUAACCCGCCACGCUUAGCGCGUGGGGAGACAGUGUCAGGUGGGCAGUUUGACUGGGGCGGUCGCCUCCUAAAGAGUAACGGAGGCGCCCAAAGGUUCCCUCAGAAUGGAUGGAAAUCAUUCGCAGAGUGUAAAGGCACAAGGGAGCUUGACUGCGAGACUGACAAGUCGAGCAGGGACGAAAGUCGGGCUUAGUGAUCCGGUGGUUCCGCAUGGAAGGGCCAUCGCUCAACGGAUAAAAGCUACCCCGGGGAUAACAGGCUUAUCUCCCCCAAGAGUCCACAUCGACGGGGAGGUUUGGCACCUCGAUGUCGGCUCGUCGCAUCCUGGGGCUGUAGUCGGUCCCAAGGGUUGGGCUGUUCGCCCAUUAAAGCGGCACGCGAGCUGGGUUCAGAACGUCGUGAGACAGUUCGGUCCCUAUCCGUCGCGGGCGCAGGAAAUUUGAGAGGAGCUGUCCUUAGUACGAGAGGACCGGGAUGGACACACCGCUGGUGUACCAGUUGUUCCGCCAGGAGCAUCGCUGGGUAGCUAUGUGUGGCAGGGAUAAACGCUGAAAGCAUCUAAGCGUGAAGCCCCCCUCAAGAUGAGAUUUCCCAUUUCUUCGGAAAGUAAGAUCCCUGAAAGAUGAUCAGGUAGAUAGGUUUGGAGUGGAAGUGUAGCGAUACAUGGAGCGGACAAAUACUAAUCGAUCGAGGACUUAACCAAAA
rnacentral:rRNA from 1 species